UGAAUAAAAUUUUACUAAUUAAUUAAUUAUAAUGUAUACAUGCAGAAAACAGCAGUAAAGAUAAGCAAUGUGAGAUUUAGUGGAUUCGAAGGGACAUCCGCUACUGAGGUUGCUAUCAAACUGGAUUGCAGUGGUAUAGUUCCUUGCACUGGUAUCACUCUGAACAACAAUAUGAUAACUUCAUCAACUCCUGGAAAGAAGGUUAAAGCUGAAUGCAAUAAUGCUCAUGUCUCUUCCACCUUAACAACUCCCUCAGUCACUUGCUUAAUACCUAAACACAUCAUUUAUUACUCCAAAGCUUAAUGAAAGUACGUACGAGCAGUGAUCUAGAAUGUAUAGGUAGACACUUAAUUUGAUUCAGAUUCGGAUCAAUUAGAUCGAAUUUAAAUGAAUAGGUCCAUUUUAUAUUUUUAUUUUAUUUUAUAUUUUAUAUUUAUUAUUAUUAUUUUUAUAUAUAUAUUUUUUAUUUUUAUCUUAUGUAUUUAUUAUUUAUUUAUUUAUUAUUAUUAUUUAUUUAUAUAUAUUUAUUUCAUUUUUUUGUUAUUUAUCUGUUAAUGUAUAUAUUUAUUAUUUAUUAUUUAUCUAUUAUUAUAUAUAUUUAUAUUUAUCUGAUUAUAUUAUAAUUUAUCUAUUAUUUAUUUUUAGUUAUCUGUUAAUAUUAUCAUUUAUCUGAUUAUUUUUUUAAUUAUCUAUUAGCAUUUUUUUGGUUGAAAUUUGAGGAAUCCUACCGUAAAUGGGGUUCAAUCAGAGUCCAUAUUAGAUUCAAUGAUUGAAUCCCAAUCCAAAGAGGAUUUGGGAUUGAUCAGAAACUCUUCUGAUCAAUCCCUAUAAAAAGACCCACGGAUCAAAGGAAGAACAGGGAGAAAAAAAAGAGAUACUGGCUGAUAGAGAAAAAGGAACACACAGAGAAGAUUUGAAAGUUGAAAUAGGGUUUAGAGGCGUUAUAAUAGCUCUAGGAAUCGGUGAAAAAUUUUUGAAAAAUUUUUUACGAAUUUUUUUUAGAAAUUUUUGAAAAAUUUUUAAAUUUCGGUUGAAUUUUUCAACGAAGAUUGAAUUUUUCGGUGACUUUUCUGGCCAAGUUUGAAUUUUUCGAUCAACUUCCCAAUUUUCGGCAACCAUUUCCAAAAAUCGAUCAGUUUUUCGGUGAACUUUCGGUGAAAAACUCAGAUUUCGAUGAAAAUUUUUAGAAUUCGAUGGGCAUUCAACCGGAGUUCUUCGAAUUUUUAAAGAGAAGGGAAAGAAGAAGAAGGAAGAGAGAGAGAUAGGGAAAGAGGAUUCUGCUGAAAAACAGAAGAAUUCGCCUUAUAUAUCCUCUUCAAAAUGACGUCGUUUCUACGUUAAGUAACCCAGAAGAUCCGCGCGUUUUGUCAAGAUCUGACCCGAUCCGAGCGUCGACCUGCGUUUAACCUGAGUGCGAGUCGUUUUUCGAGUCGAGCCGAGCCACGUCUCCGAGCCAUUUUUCUUCCUCAAGUCGAGCCGAGCCGAGCCGUUGUCGAAUCGUUUUCAGGUUUUUUUUUCAUUUUUUUAUAUUUAUUUAUUUAUUAUUAUUAUUUAUUGAUUAUAUUAUAUUUGUUUAAUACUUUUAUUUUAUUUUCCUUUAUUUUUAUUUUUAUUUUCAUUUUCAUUUUUUCUUUAUUUUAUUAUUUUAUUUUCUUUAAAUAAAAUUCAAAAAAAAUAUUUUUUAGGAAAAGUUAAAAGUAUCAAUUUUCCUUGAAAAUAAACGUUCCAAAAAUAUUUUUGAGAAAAAGUUGAAAGUAUCAAUUUUUCUUAAAAAUAAAUUUUCAAAAAAGAUUUUUUUCAGGAAAAGUUGAAAGUAUCAAUUUUUCUUAAAAAUAAAUUUUCAAAAAAAGGUUUUGAGAAAAAGUUGAAAGUAUCAAUUUUUCUCGAAAUUAAAGUUUCUAAAAAAUAUUUUGGAAAAAAGUUGAAAGUAUCAAUUUUUCCUACACAAAAGCAAUCAUUUUUUUUCUUCCUUUUUAUUUUCUUAAAUUUUUUUAAUGUUAAAUAAUCCGACGACGGAACCUCUGUAAGUGAAAUAGUAGUUUUCUUGCAUACUCUUGAGGUGAUGAGAUUUUUUCAAUUUUAUGCUAAAAGUAUUAAAGUCAAUUGAGAAUAAUUUUUAAUAAUUAAUUACUUGAUAAAUUUUUAAGGCUUAUUGGAUAACACAAAAUUAAGCUGGUACCAUUUUUUGAUGGGCAUUGUGAGGGUGCUAUAACCUUCCUCACACGUAACCGAACUCUAGAACCCUGUUCUGGUUAGUAGACCCGAACCUAUUCUUUUAGAGACCCUUAAACUUAGGUGUUCCCUGAAAAGAUAGAUUCCUUAGGUGGCCAAUCACACCUAGAUAAAAAAGAUUAGUGGUGACUCCUUCAAGCCAAUGUCUAAUGAUAGAUUUCCGAAUCUAGACGUUAUGACAGCUUGGUGACUCUGCUGGGGUAGUCCGAGAGUCAAGCCAGCAAAUAAAUUUGUAUUAUCCAAAAACCUAAUAAAAUUGAAUCUUUUGUAUAGAUUUUUUUAUUCGUUCAUGUUUAUUUACUUUAUUAAUCAUGUCAUUCAUAUGCAUGUGCAUAACAUGAGCUCUAUACCCGAGCUCCGUCUCUCUAGGAGGAAGUAAAGUACCUAUUGCUUUCAUGAGGUUUAAUACCUCCGUAGUGGCUAGCGAAAUACUCCCACUCAAAUUGAACAUUUUUCGCUUGUAGCCUGUAAUGGGUGAGGAUUGGGGUACCUUACUAGUUUAUGAUGGACAAUGAUGUAAGGAGCAAUUUGGGAACCUUUAGACUUUGACCUUAAACCACAUAUAGUGAACCUUAAGAGUGUCUAACCUAUAGAUAGAGCUAUCGCUCUUCCCUUUUAGAAUUGACCAAAAGUAUAGGGUUCAUCCUCUUAUUCUGUGUGAUGUUUUAAUUUACUUAUUUAUUUAUUCUUUCUUUUUUCUAGGCAUACUAACCUUUUUCUCAUUCUUUUGCAUUGGUUUAUACACAUAUCAUAAAGUUGCAUAAAGAACAUUUGCUUGAAAGACAGUCUUCAACAAAACUUUUCAUGGACUCCACUGAACGACUAGUUUGUUCUUCAUCCGUAUUAGCACCUUGUGAGACACCCAACGUAGUCAAAGCCUAAUAAAAAAAGAUUCAACUGAAGAUAAGAGAUUAUUUACCAAUCGGAUAUGAUUCUAUUUUGUCUCAAGAAACAUCUAUCCUCUUCAAACAGAACAAUCUAGAAGAUUUGGUUGAUAUCUGAAAGAAGAUGAGUCUGUCAAGACAAGAGCAGUUUUGCCAGAGACACGAUCAUAUAGCACACCUUCUAGCAGUAGUUAUUGAUGAUCAACUAAUCAGAGCUGCAGCAUAAUUUUGGGAUCCUGUAUAUAAGUGUUUUAUCUUUAAUGAAGCUGAUAUGACUCUCACCAUCGAAGAAUAUUCAAUUUUAUUGAGUUUGCACCUCGAGGCUCCUGAUAAGAUAUAUGUCAAAAAACACAAGUCAAGAUUUCGUAAGGGUCUGGCUCAACUCAUGGGGAUAGACAAGGAAAUUAUGGAUUCUCAUACAAAGAAGAAACAAGAAUAGGUUUGCCUACCUUGGAAGUUCUUUCAUGAGUUUCUAGUGCAACAUGCCAAUGAAGAACGAGAGUUAGAUAUAUUUACCUUAGCCAUCUACGGAAUGGUGAUCUUCUCAAAGGUUUUGGUUAUAUUGAGAUAACGAUGGUUGACUUCUUCGAGAGUGUGAUCAAUGGCUGUAAUCUUUCAACGGUAAUAUUAGCAGAGACUAUAAAAUCUUUGAGUUAUUGUUCUCGAAAUGGAGGGUGCUUUAUAGGUUGUAUACAAUUAUUGUACUUAUGGAUAAAAAACCAUUUUAAAUAGGGAAAUGGUGCAUUCUCAAAUCUUUAUAUCUGUAAUCGAGCUCCGAUCAAAAAAUUCUGUGAAAGUGGGUGGUCAGAAUGAAAGUUUAAAAAAGAAUGGAUAACUUUUCUACAAAAGUUAACCAGUACCGAUGUAAGAUGGUUAGCCCCAUGGAUGAAUCAUGAACCUAUGUUAUACCAAUGUGGGGAUAAUAUAGUGGUCCCACUUUUGGGUUUUAUGGGGAGUGACAAAUUAUGCAUCACUCUUAGUGAAAAGGUAGUUUGGGGCAGAACAAUUCAUUCCUAUGACUUAUGGGGUUCAUCAGUUAGAUUUUUCUUACAGUGAGCCUAAAAUAUUUCAGAGGAUGAAUGAGAUAAUUAAAGCAUGGAAAAAUCCUUGAAGAGUGAGUUCUGGACCAUUUAUUGAUAAAGUCACUCCAGGGUACUUGGUUUGGAGAGCAAAACGAAGAUAAGAAAUGGUAUUCACUUAUGAAAGCUUUCAACCGCCAAAAGAAGAAAAACUUAAAGAGACACCAUCAGAAUUAGAGCUUGCAACAAAAGAAUUUGAGUCUGAAAAGGGUAAGUUAAAGCAAAAAAUCCAGAAGCUUCAAGAAAAAAGCACCCAAUGAAAAGAUAAAGCUGAAAGUCAUGAAGCUAAAGUUUGCAAGAUUACUAAAGAACGUGAUAUAGCUGUUGAAGACCUAGCAGAGUUACACCAAGAGCAUAAAAGGUUAUGUGUGAGAGAAAGGACCAAAGAGAUAACUAUUGUUGAGCUGACUGAAGAAAAUAGAAGAUUGAAGCAAGAGUAUGCUGAAUUGGAAGAAGAAAGUACCUAAGUACAGACAAAGAAUAACAUACUAAACAAUUAUUUGAGUAGGCUAAGGUAAAAGUUGAAAGAACAAGAAGACCACAUUGCUGUAUUGGUUAAGGAGCAUAGAGAAUUAUCGUACAAAGUCUAGUGUGGUAAAAGAGAGAACUUGGAAAGACAAAAAUACAUUGAGCACCUAACCCAAAUCUAUAAAGGGAUAUGCAAGGUAAGAGAGAUGGUGGAAAAGGCAAAGGCAUUGAAACAAAUGGUGACCCCAGUAGGAGAACAUGGACAGCGUCUGUUGAACUUCAUUGAGAAAGCCAAGGCCUAGUAUGAACAGAUCAAACAAUUUUAUGGUUAUAGUUUUAGGAUGAUAAACUCAAUGUAAAUAAAAGUUUUUUGGAAUAAAUGAAAUCUUUAGGUUAAAUACUGUUUUUAAGGCAAAUGUUCUUUGCAUACAUGUAUUUUUCAUUCAUUGCAUUCUUAUUCAUUACAUUUAACAAAAUAACCAUGUGAUAAUCAUGCAAAUUUACUAAUUCUAAGAUAUGGUACUCAAGGUUCAAGGAUAGCUCCAUCUAACGAGAACCCUGUCCAUCGAUACAACACAAGAUCCAAGGCCAGACAAAAGAGCAAAAAAAUUCUCACAGAUUUGAAAAGCUAGAAAAAGUACAGGAAAAGAUUGAAAAUGAGUUGAACAAGAUUUUGGAUGCUAUCAAUAAGCUGAAUAAGGGAAAAAAAGUUGAAAAAAAUACAAGCCAACAAGUUUCCUCAUUACAAGAAGUGGCUGACCCUUUGUACCCUCUAGGUUUUUAUCCACCUCAAACUCAGUCUGUACAAGAGGUUCUACUGUAACAUUUCGCAUAUCCUAUAUAUCCUGGAAUACCAUCAGCUUCCAACCUAGGGUAUUAUCAUGCUAUGUAAAUCUUGUCUUUAUUGAAAAGAUAGUAGAACUGAUUCCUAAUCUAGAUGAUUUGAAAGAGAAGGAAAAAGAAAAGAUAAGAGUGAAAACUCAAGAAAGCUCUAAAAUUAGUAUGCUAGAACAAAGGCUGCGGGUUGUAGAAGGAAUUGGUUUCUAUGGUUCAGUUGAUGCUGCUGGGUUUUGCUUAGUCCCUGAUGUGGUCAUUCUUUCUAAGUUCAAAGUACUAAAAUUUGAAAACUAUGAUAGUACCAAGUGCCUAAAAACUCAUAUCACCAUAUAUUGUCGGAAGAUGGCAGCUCAUGCUUAUGAUGAAAAACUCUUGAUGCAUGUUUUUCAAGAUAGCCUUAUAGGCUCUGCUGCUAGGGGGUAUGUUCAGCUAGACAGAACUCGCAUUCACUCUUGGAGUGAUAUGGCUCAUGACUUCAUCAGUCAAUAUCGACAUAUUAUUGAUUUGGCUCCUGAUCAUUUAUUUUUAUAGAACUUAGAGAAAAAGGUAAAUGAGUCUUUAAAGAAUAUGCCCAGAGAUGGAGAGAUUUAGCUUUUCAAGUACAAGCUCUUCUGAUUGAAAAAAAGACUACAGUGCUAUUUGUUAGCACUUUGAAACCUCCCUAUUAUGAAAAAAUGAUAAUGAAUGCAAUAAAAAUUUUACUAAUAUGGUAAUUUUGAGAGAAAUUAUCGAGAGUGCCAUCAAGAAUGGUAAGCUGAAAGGAAGUGAAGCAUCUAGCAAGAGAGUCUCGAAAAAGAAAGAGACUGAAGCUCAGGCUAUGAGCUUUGAUAAACAGCAAUUUGGGAGUUAUCAAUCUUACUCACCACAAGGAUACUUGCCAUAUUACCCUACUAUAAAUAACACUUCCCCUUACCCAUACCAACCAUUUGUACAGUCACCUUAUCCCCAAACAUAUCAACCUCCUCCUAAGCCUCAGAAUACCACAUAUAGUCCUAACACUCAACUUACCCCAAAACUUCAAAAUUGUCCAACUAACCCCAUGGGUGGUUCACGAGAGCAAUGAACUACCCGUGAAAAAUCUGUAUUUGACCGAAUUUCAAUGACUUAUACAAAAUUAUAUAAGGAGCUUUACAACAGUCAUUUGAUUGCUCUUAGUAAAUUAGAACCCCUCAAACCACUUUACCCUAAGUGGUAUGAUCCCACAGCCUACUGCGACUAUCAUUAUGAGAUUGCUGAUCACUCCACUGAAAAUUACAUCGUCCUAAAACAAAAAGUGCAAUGGUUGAUCAAGGAUGGAAUGAUUUGCUUUGAUAUGGGAGGAGUGACUGCACUGAAUGUUAGUGGUAAUUUUUUGUCGAAUCAUAAUGUGAAUGCUAUAAGUGAAGAACAGGAGUGCCAUAUGAAGAAAGAAGUGGUAGAUAUUAAGACACCUCUUAAUCAACUGUUUGAUAUUUUAUGAAAAGCUGACAUGAUACAACUAGUGAGUCCACACAGUUAUCAUAGAGUAUAUAUAGUCGGCACUAGUUGUAAAUAUCAUAGUGGGGCAAUAGACCACUCUAUUGAAACCUGCGAGCAGUUUCACCAAGAGGUGUAAAAACUCUUAGAUUCAUACCAGAUAGAGGUCUAUGAAAGAAGCAAAGACUUAAGAAGUGUUGAGGUAUCCAUGACUGAUAAGCCUGUAAAGUUGUUUCCAAAGUCGGUGGCAAUCUAUUGUGGGAACAAACCAAAGUCCAUCAUAGACAAACUCAUUUUCAGGCUGAUAACUUUUAAAGUUUUGACUCUCUUCUUAUACAAGGAUGAUAAAGCUGUACCCUGGAGAUAUGACUGUGAUACAGUAGUUCAGGGGUAAGAAGAGGAUGUCUCUAAAGCUAACACUUCUAAUAUAACUGGUGUAGGAGGUAUUUCCCGAAGUAAAAGGUGCUACACUCUAGAAAUGUUAGAGAAGGCUCGAAGAAAGAGGGCCAAUAAAAGAGAAGGGUGAAAUAAUCCUGAAAUAAAACCUGAAAAAGAUCGUCUGAAAUCGGUAUCAGAAAAAAAGGUUUGUGAAUUUUUGAAACUGAUAAAACAUAGUGAGUAUUCAGUUGUUGAACAGUUGAAUAAAAUGCCAGCUCGAAUCUCAUUGCUAUCACUACUGUUAAACUCAAAGCCACACCGAAAUAUCUUACUGAAAGUGUUGAAUUAGGCAUACAUGGCACAUAAUGUAUCUGUUGAAUGUGUGAAUCACUUGGCUGGAAAUUUAGUCAUGUCGAAUCACAUUUCGUUUAGCGAUAAUGAGAUUUCUUUGGAGGGAAAGAGAAAUGCCAAGGUUCUGCAUAUCACGAUCAAGUGUAAGAGCCAUAUCAUAGCCAAGUUCCUUAUUGAUAAUGGCUCUAUUAUCAAUGUCAUGCUUAUGUCAACUUUGGAGAGGUUACCCAUUAAUUACUCUCAUAUGAAGGACAGUCAGAUAAUUGUGAGAGCUUUUGAUGAAACCAGAAGAAAAGUCUUGAGGGAUAGCGAGAUGCCCUUGCAAGUUGCCAUGUACUUUUAAUAUGAAGUUUCAAGUGAUGCAUAUCUCUCCAUAUUAUAGCUGUCUAUUGAGAAGGCCAUGGAUUCACAUGGCAGGAGUUGUACUUUUUACCUUAUACCAAAAGAUCAAGUUUAAUGUAGAAGGUCAACUAGUAGUGGUAGUUGUGGAGGAAGACAUACUAGUGACCCAACCAUUAAAUACUUCAUAUGUAGAGGCUGUCGAAAAAGUAUUAGAAUGCUCCUAUCAAUCUUUUGAGCUAGUUAAUUCCAUAGGUGAAGGAUUUAAAAAUCAACCUUUUUCAAGGAUAGUGAUGAGCCAAAUCAUCAAUAAGGGCUGGUAUCUAGGACUGGGGCUGGGCAAGAACUUGCAGGGAAUAAAGGAACCCCGACGGUGAUAGAUAAUAGCGACAAGUUAGGCCUAAGCUAUGAGAUGGCAGAAUGGGAGAUCAAGAGAAGGCUAGCAGGAAAGAUAGCAAGAUUAAUGGUUAUCCCACACCUGCAUAAAACUUUCAGACCUGGAGGAUUCAUGUACCCAGAUACAAGAAAAAACGUGAAAAAUAUUUUUGCCCAAUUAACCAUUGAUGCUAUUGAAAAUGAAGUAGAGAUUAAUCAAGAGGGGUGGGUCUGUCUUUGUCACCAGAUUAUGAGCUGAGCAACUGGAGUGCCAUUGAAGUGCCUAUGAUUGUUGAAACUAAUACAAUAUAAUUGUAAUAUCCCAAUAGCUAUUGCCCAAGGUAUUGGGGUGAUCUUUCUUCUUUGGGCUAUUUAUCUUUUAUUAUUUUUAAUAAAAAUUAGGAAAGAUGUAUUUUCAUUCAUUUUUUUGUGUCUUCAUUAUUCCUAUCUUUUCAAGCACAUCUUGCCAAUAUAUCCCAUUUCAUUCAAUUUCAAGUCUUUAAAUGAACAUGAAGAUAAUUAUGAUAAUAAUCAAGAAGUUAGUUUUGAGAACUCAAUUAACACUGAUGAACUUGACAAUGAAGAGAAUUCUGAGGAAUAUGUUAUGCCUCCGGAUAUAAUGAGUUUGAUUGAAUAAGAAAAUAAGCCAAUUGAGCUGUAUCAAGAUAUAGUUGACUUAGUGAAUCUGAGAGAUGAAGAGAAUUAAAAAGAUGUCAGAAUUGACACUUCACUUUCAUCAAGAGAUAGACAAUGAUUGGUAGAUCUACUUCGAGAAUUUGUAGAUGUAUUUACUUGAUCUUACCAGGAUAUGCUAGGGUUGAGCACGGAGAUAUGGAGCACAGAUUACCCCUAAAGUUAGAAUCUAAGCCAGUUCAACAGAAACUGAGACGAAUGAAGCCUGAAAUGUUACUAAAGAUAAAAAAAGAGGUGAAGAAAUAAUUUGAUGCAGGUUUUCUACAAGCGGCUAAGUAUCCAGAGUGGGUAACCAAUAUAGUACCCGUUCUUAAUAAAGAUAGAAAGAUAUAAAUAUGUGUAGACUAUCGUGACUUCAAUAAGGCUAGUCCAAAAGAUAACUUUCUUUUACCUUAUAUCGACACACUGGUAGAUAAUAUGGCUAGGCAUUCAAUUUUCUCCUUUAUGGAUGGUUUUUCAGGGUAUAAUAAGAUAAAAAUGACUGCAGAUGAUAUAAAAAAGACUACUUUCGUGAUUAUGUGAGGAACCUUUUGCUACAAGAUCAUGCCUUUUGGGUUAAAGAAUACUGGAGUAACAUAUCAAAAGGCCAUAGUAACAUUCUUUCUUGACAUGAUGCACAAAAAGAUCGAGGUGUAUAUAGACGAUAUAAUUGUAAAAUCUUGUGAGGAUGAAGAUCAUGUCACCGACCUCAAAAAGUUAUUUGAGAGGUUAAGAAGAUUUCAGCUUAAGUUAAACCCAGUCAAGUGCACAUUUAGGGUAAAGUCAAGAAAAUUACUAGGCUUUGUGGUCAGUGAAAGAAGAAUUGAAGUCGAUCCAAAUAAGAUACGGGCUAUUCAGAAUUUGUCACCUCCCAGCACACCAAAAGAAGUUUGAGAUUUUCUAGAGAGAUUGAACUAUAUUUCUCGAUUUAUUUCUCAGCUCACUUACAAAUAUGAUCCCAUAUUUAAGCUUCUUUGCAAGAAUAAUCUUGAAAAAUGGAAUAAGGAAUGUCAAGAGGCGUUUGAUAAAAUUAAGCAAUACUUUUCAAACCCUUCAAUGUUGGUGCCAUUUGUUCCAGGGAAACUUUUAAUUCUAUACUUGACAGUAUGUGAAAAUUCAAUGGGAUGUGUGCUGGGGCAACAAGAUGAGUCUAGUUGAAAGGAUAGAGCUAUUUAUUAUUUGAGUAAAAAGUUCACAGAGUACGAAUCCAAGUAUUCUUCAUUGGAGAAAAUGUGUUAUGUAUUAGCGUGGACUGCCAAAAGACUCAGACAGUAUAUGCUCUAUCAUAUCACAUGACUCAUAGCAAAAUUGGAUCCAAUUAAAUAUAUCUUUGAGAAGCUUUCUUUGUCUGAAAGAAUUACUCGAUGACAAGUAAUGCUCUCGGAGUAUGAUAUUAUAUAUGUGAGCUAAAAGGCAAUAAAAGGGGGCACUAUAGCAGAAUUUUUUUAUAGAUCGUACUACUGAAGAGUAUGAACCAAUGAAGUUAAAAUUUCCUGAUGAAGACCUAAUGACUAUUUCCUAACUGGAGAAAAGAGAGCAUGGAGAAAAAUGCUGGAGAAUGUAUUUUGAUGGAGUGCCAAUGCCUUGGGACAUAGAAUUGGGACAAUUCUGAUCUCUCCAAAAGAAUAAUACUGCCCUAUAACAACAAGGUUAAAUUUUAAUUGCACAAAUAACAUUACUGAAUAUGAGAAAUGCAUCAUGGGCUUACAAGCUGCUAUAGCUAAGAGAGUGAAAGUAUUAAAAGUGUUUGGAGACUCAGCUCUAGUUAUAUAUCAGUUGAAAGAGGAAUGAGAGAUGAGAGAUUCAAAACUCAUUUCAUAUUAUAAGUAUAUUCUAGAGUUGAUGAAACAAUUUGAAGACAUCCAGUUUGACCACUUACCUCAAGAAGAGAAUCUGAUUGCUGAUGCAUUGGCUACUAUGGUUGUAAUGAUUCGAAUUAAUGAUAAUAUUGACAUUCAACCCAUCAAGCUAGAUGUUAAAGAGAUACCAGCUCAUUGCUCCAAUAUAGAAAAAGAAAAAGAUGGGAAGCCUUGGUAUUAUGAUAUCCUACAAUAUGUUAAGGAUCAGCAAUACCCAGUUCAAGCAAUAAAAAAUGAUAAAAGGGUCAUCCGAAGGUUGGCUAUGAGCUUUUUCCUAGAUGGGGAUGUUUUGUAUAAAAAAAAUUAGGAUCAAGUAUUACUUAAGUGCGUAAGUAAGGCUGAAGCGAGGAAAAUCAUUGAAGAGGUGCAUGAUGAAAUAUGUAGGGUACAUACCAGUGGACAUAUGAUGACGAGACAUAUUAUGAGAGCAGGAUAUUACUGGUUGACAAUGGAGAGUGAUUGCAUUGAUUAUACUUGUAAGUGCCAUAAAUGCCAGAUAUAUGCUGAUAAGAUUAAUGUUUCGACAUCUGCUUUACAUGUUAUAACACCACCUUGGCCAUUCUUAAUGUGAGGCAUGGAUGUCAUUGGUCCUAUCACCCCAAAGGCUUCUAACGGGCAUAGAUUCAUUUUUGUGAUGAUAGAUUACUUCAUAAAAUAGGUAGAGGUAGCAUCGUAUGCAAGUGUAACACGAUCUGUGAUUUACAAGUUCAUAAAGAGAGAUAUCAUCUGUAGAUAUAGACUUUUAGAGAGAAUUAUUUCAGACAAUGCCAAGAAUCUAAAUAGUAAGAUGAUGCAAGAAAUGUAUGCUUAAUACAAGAUCAAGCAUCAUAACUCGACACCAUACCAUUCGAAAAUGAUGGGGACAGUUGAGGCAGCCAACAAGAACAUAAAAAAGAUUCUAUAGAAGAUGAUUAAGACUUACAAAAACUGACAUGAAAAAUUACCAUUUGUGUUGCACGUAUAUCGAACAUCAGUGCGCACCUCUACUGGGGUAACCUCAUUUUUUUAACUCCAUACUUACUUAAUUUAGUUAAUCCAACGGUGAUGCCUAACCUCGAUAUUCAAACUUUUAUAAAGAGGUAUUACACUUUAUUAGAUUAUAUAUCUUCUGUUUCUUCAUAAGUAAUUUUAUUUAUGUAUUAAGUAAUUUUUUUCUUUUCAAUUUAGGAUAAUAUUUGCAUUCGAUAAGAAGAUAAAGAAACUGAAAUGGAUGUCAUUAUCGAUAAAUAUAAAAUAUAUUCUUUUAUGCUAAGUUUGUGUAGAUAAAUAUUUCUUAAACCCACUCAAUUUAAUUUUCAGGUACCUCGUCAACCGGAUAAUAUUGAAUAUAGAUAUUAUGUCCUUCAUUUUAUGCGAAAGAUAGUGUUACAUGAUUUUAUGACCACACCAUUCAAGGUUAGUAUAAAUUUCAUAAACUCAUUAUAUCUUAAAAAAAUAAAAAGGUACAUUAUGUUCUCAUUUCUUAGCAUUUACUUUUGAUUUUUUUUUUAGUGGGAGAGUAAAGAAAGCUUUAGGAAGAGGAAUUGGAUGAAGUCCAUAAAGAAUGGUGUGCUCAUGUAUUAUCAUUUAUCAAUGUUGAUAAACCAUCAGGUUAGACAUUGUUGGUUGAAUGUAAAUAUAUAAGGAACAAAUUGUUAUAAUGUUUUAAACAUGCCAUGUUGAAUGUAAACUUUAAGUUUGUACAUUGACGAAUUGGUUUAAUAUUAUUGUUAUACUUAAUAUGAAUACACUAUGUGUAUUUAAUAAAUUAUUGAGUAUGAUUAUUUUAGAAAAGUAUAUUAAUAUGGUAACGUUAUCAGUUUUAAUUUCAGAUGUGUCAUCAAUUUAUUGAAAUACAACAAUAUUCAUUAUGUAAAUUCCAAAAUGUAAUUCGUAGUAUCACAUAUAUAAACCAAAUAUUUUCUAUGCAUUAAUAAACAACAGACAGUAAACGUUUUUUAGGCAUAAACCUAUAACUGACUUGACAUAUACAAUAUCAAAUAUGUUUUUUUUGAUGGGAUUAAGGAAGGUGUUUUUAACAAGAAAUUGCUUUGAAUAAUCCCUAAUAAAAAAUUUUGAAGGCAUUUUUAACCAAAACUGCCUUCAAUAAUCACCCAAAAAAUUUAUUAUGUGAAAUAUUAAAGGUGUUUUAGGCAAAAUAUGCCUUCAAGAAUUCAUUGCAUCUUUUUUGUAUGGAUUAUUGAAUGCGUUUUAAAAAAAAUACCUUUAAUAAUACCAACUAAAAAUUAAUCGAAUAGAUUAUGAAAGUUGUUUUCCUACAGGUAACGUCUUGAAUAAUCCAUAACAAAAUAUUAUUGAAGGCGUUUUUGGAUAUAAUCGCCUUUAAUAAUCCGACCAUUAAAAUUUAUUGUCUUGAAUAUUAAUGGCGUUUUAGGCAAAAAAAUACCUUCAAGAAUCUGUCUCAUCUUUUUUGUAUAAAUUAUUGAAGGCUUUUUAAACAAACGCCUUCAAUAAUACUAAUUAAAAAUUAAUCGAAUGGAUUAUGAAGGGCGUUUUCCUAUAGGUAACACCUUAAAUAAUCUAUAAGAAAAUGUUAUUGAAGGCGUUUUUUGAUAUAAUUGCCUUCAAUAAUUUGACCAUUAAAAUUUAUCAUUUAGAAUAUUAAAGGUGUUUUGAGCCAAAAACGUCUUUAAGCAUCCGUUCAAACUUUUGUCUAUGGAUUAUUGAUGGCAUUUUUAACAAAAAUCGCCUUUAAUAAUCAUAACAAAAUUUUAUUGAUUGUAUUAUAAAAAGUGAGUUCAGCCAAAAAUGCCUUCAAGAAUCGAUUCAUAUUUUUCCUAUGGAUUAUUAAGGGCGAUUUUCGCAAAAAAUUGCCUUCAAUAUUUUCUGUAAAAUUUUUUAGAGCAAUUGGUGAACAUUUUUUUGCCAAGAAAAUGCCUAGAAUAAUCAAUUACAAAUAUCUCUGGAAAAACCCAAAAAAGGCUAAAGGGAGAGAUCAAACCUACAACCUUAUGGUUAACAUCCGUACAAUCCAAACAUUUUGAUAUGAUAUUUAUUGAAUGCGUUUUUGAACAAAAACGACUUCAAAAACGCCUUCAAUAAGUCUGUGAAAUUUUUUGGUCCAAUUGUUAAAGGUGUUUCUUGUACAAAAUGCCUUCAAUAAUCUCAUACAAUUUUUUAUUAGGUGAUUAUUGAAGGCGUUGUUUGCCAUAAACACGCCUUUAGUAUUCACUGAAAUUUUUAAGACAGAAUUAUUCAAGGCGUUUUAGUUGAAAAAUGCUGCUGAUAUCAAGUCUUGGGUAGCGUUUAUAAGUAACAACGUCGCUAUUUAAAUAUUUAGUGGCGUUUUGAUAAUAAACGCCUUAAGUUUUAUAAAAACAAUGAAGCUAAAGGCGUUUGUAAGUGAAAGGCCGCUACAAAACUGUCGCUAAUAUGCUAUUUUCUUGUAGUGUUUGUCAAAUUAUAAUUAUUUUGGUUCAAACAUAAUUAUUUAAAAUAUAAAUAAAAUUAAUAUAAAAAUUAAUUUUACUCAUUAAUAAUUAAAAUUUUCUAUCCAAUGUGAGAUGCACCACAUUCUAAAUUGUCAAUAAAAUCAUCCAAGACUAUAUUUCAUUCUAGGAUAUAAAAUGUGAGAACAUCUAAUUUUUGCGGAAAUCAUGGAAGCUCCGGUCAAUAUUUGUACUCCGCUGUUUUGCUAUUUGGUGUUAUGCCAUCGGCCGGAACCAGCCAAAGAGCGCUCACUUCGGCAACUUCUAUCUAAGUGACACCAUUGCACGCACGUUGCAGUUGUAUAUAGAUAAUGCCGGCUUAAUCCAGCUUCCAUUUUCAUCUUGAUCCUAGCCUGCAUGAAGUCUUUAUCUACUGACUUUUUUCAGCAUUUACUUUGGCAACAAGGCUUGUUCAGGUUUUAUAUCUUAGACAUCGAUCCCUGGCUCUCUUGGCAAAGCAUAUCAGCUCUUGUCACAGACAUCUGUGCUCUAAAGCAUGUUGAGAACGUGAGGACAAAAAAAAAAAAAGACUGCACAUAGAAGCCUGGGAGAGUUAGAAUCAUCAGAACUUGCAUGAUCAGCAAAACUACUGUCAAUGUUCAAGUGGAAAUUAGCUAUUUUCAGCGUUAUUGCGUUUUAGGCGUACCCAAGGCGAGUGACAAUAUUCAACAUGAAGGGUCACCACACAUCAGACAAAACCUGGCAAAGUAAGUGUCUGAUAUGAGAAAUGCAUUUGAUUGGUCACGGCCUUAAACUUCAAGGCAUGUUUCAAAGGCAAUCCGAGGAAUAUUUGAUUUCCAAUUUUCUUUGUUACUUCUUACAAAGAUUUCCGUAGUUACUAUUCCAAGAUUUUCUUUGAUAUUAGAUUUCAUCUUAUCCCCAACUUAUAUUCCAAGAUCGAUUAAAAAUUAAUGCUUGAGGAUAAAAACAAAAGUACAUAUAUCUAUACACGUAGAUCAAUAAAAUAUAAAAGAAAAUUAAUUGGAUUAACAUGUUAUUUGCAUGGAUAAUGGGGUUUUAAUUUCUGUAAUUCAAAAUUAUUGAAUUAACCCAACUUGUACAUAUGCACCGCCUUAUUACGUAUAGGAUAAUGAUAUAUCCUUGCAAUUUUCAAUAAUCACUCAAGUUAUUAUGGUUUUAUCUUUUAUUGCUAAAUUAGUUUUUUUAAUUAAUUAAAUUCCUCAAAAUACAUGCGCACGUACCUCUAUAAAAAGCACACAAACUAGCAAUUGCAUGAAGUCAUAUACUGUGAGAAAUUAAGAACACAAAACCCUACUGAUAACUUCCUUUCAACCAAGAAAAUAAUUGAAGCAAAGGCUUUCAGUUUCAGUGUGAUGGUAAGGAUCAAGGCUUUCAUCUUUGAAAAACCUUGGUUUCAUGGCUAGCUACUUUUUAUGAAUGUACAUUAAAGGUUUUCUUGAUAUCCCCUUCUUUCUUCUCUGCAGGCAUUGCUAGUUAUUGCUUUUUUUAUUUUGAACUUUGGUUUUGGGAUUGGUAAUUGCCAAUCCCUUAAUGUCAUCAAUUUUGGGGCUGUUGGAGAUGGAAGAACAGAUGAUUUACUGGUAAAUUUUUCAUCUUUUUUAAGCUUAAUUUAAGCUGCAUGUACGUACAAUAUUGUACAUGCAUGUUUUUUUGUAUACUGCAUAUAGUAUAUUCCUAUUUAAUUAUUUUCUUUUUGCUCUCUCUCUCUCUCUCUCUCUCUCUAUAUAUAUAUAUAUAUAUAUAUAUAUACGAUUAUAUCUGAUCUUACUAAUAAUUAUGUGCUAAUUUUGAAUAUGUAGGCUUUUUCAAAAGCGUGGACAGCUCUGUGUGCAGCAACUAAUAAUCCAACCUUGGAAAUCCCUUCUGCCAAAACUUUUUUGCUGAGUUCUAAAAUUGCUUUUUCCGGUCCUUGCAAGUCAAAAUCCAUUCAUAUUAAGGCAAAUAGCACAGUUACUUAGUUCAUAUUCAUGUCUUUUUUUUUUUUUUUUCAACUUUUGCAUAUAUUAUAUAAACAUGAUUGGAACCUGUGAAUAAAUUAAUACUUUUAUAUCAAUUCAGGUUCUGUGAAAGAAAAAAAAAAGGAAAAGAUUAAUUCGGUUGUUAUCCUUGUCCGCUAGAAUAUAUUAAAACCACGUUAUAUUAUAGAAACUUCAACCAAUAUUGGCUCCUCUUGUUUUCUAUAAUUUAUUUAUUUAUUUUAUAUAAAUUUGUAACCAAAAGAAUAAUAUGCUUGGCAAGAGGAAAGGGUUAACUAAGAUUUGCAUUCUAUAUUUUUACAUAUAUAUAUAUAUAUCGUAUAUGUUAAUUAGGUUUAUGAUCUUUUGCUUAUUUAUAAAUUUAUUUAUCAAUUGCUCGAAAAAACAAAAAAAAAAAGAAAAGAGCUAAGCUUAAUACACGAACAAAAUUAGUACUAGGGUAAUUGGGUAUACAUAUCUAUGAUUAAUGGUAAGUAAAUUUUCAACCUUUUUUACCAAAUUUUCAUACAAAAAAAAUGUCCUACUGUAUACAUAUUUUCAGGUCCUUGGAAACAUUAUUGCACCAAAAAGCAAUACGUGGACAAAAUGUGAUAAUGGUUGCUGG
rnacentral:lncRNA from 1 species